rnacentral:lncRNA from 1 species
CAUGAAGCCACCAAAUUCAUGUAAAACAUGAAGCCGCAGCUGAAUGUUCUACAGGAAAUCAACAUGUAAAACUCACUGCUCCUUUUCUACUUUAUUCCCCAAUUUUACACACCUUCACAUUUUCUCACUUGUACACAAGGAUCUCCCUAAUUUGGUGGUUCCUCGUUAUUCUAGCUCCUAUAAUUAGUAGUCAGUUACCUACUUACUUAGCUAAGGAAAGCUUUCUCUUGUCUGUCAUCACAGUAGACACCCAGUUAGUUUCUAAGUUCUUACAUUUCUUAGUUUCAGAUCCAUUCCCAUAUCUUCAUUCUCUUCUACCAGACAGCUCGGGCCUUUAUGCUGGAUUCAUGAGGUAAUAAUCUCCUAAUGUCCU